ensembl:lncRNA
GGUGAUGGUGGAGGAGUGGGUCGGAGUUGCCAAGCCUGGAUCCUCUCCUCGGGACCCUCAUCUUCAUCGAGGAGAAGAGCUACAAAUGCUCCUGGUCACUUUGAGCCUCCUCCUGGCCGUCAGUGAGGAGUUGGGGCUGCUUAUGCUGCAGGAGGUGAGAAGGAAGCACCAUCCAGGUGCAGUUGUGUCCACAGGAGGCAGAAAAGUGUAGAGUUUGACACUCAUCAUCUCUGAUGUCAUCUUUUAAUGAGAAAUACAUCGGGAAGAAGGCAGCUUUGACGGGCCCCUGCUGGGGAGAAUGUGGCUGAAUGGCAUAUGGUCUAAUUGUCAGGAGCAUGCACAGAACUGACUCAGCAGCUUUGAUUGCUGCUGCAUCUCUGAGGCCAACUCCCCC